rnacentral:rRNA from 1 species
UACGUAGGGGGCAAGCGUUGUCCGGAUUCACUGGGUGUAAAGCGCGCGUAGGUGGUUUUGCAAGUCGAGUGUGAAAGCCCCGGGCUCAACCUGGGAACUGCAUUCGAGACUGCAUUACUCGAGUAUGGGAGAGGGCAGUGGAAUUUCGGGUGUAGCGGUGAAAUGCGUAGAUAUCCGAAGGAACAUCAGUGGCGAAAGCGACUGCCUGGCCCAAUACUGACACUCAAGUGCGAAAGCGUGGGGAGCAAACAGG